rnacentral:tRNA from 1 species
GCUGAGGGGAUAUAGCUCAGCUGGUAGAGCGCUGCCUUUGCAAGGCAGAUGUCAGCGGUUCGAGUCCGCUUAUCUCCA